rnacentral:rRNA from 1 species
UAAGGCCGGCUACUACAAAUAUAAAUUUAAAACCUAAAGAACUUGGCGGUGUCUUAUCAUACCAGGGGAACCUGUUCCUUAAUUCGAUAAUCCACGAAACCUCUACCACUAUUUGAAUACACAGCUUGUAUACUGCCGUCAUCAGCAUACCUAAAAAAGAAAUAGUAUGCAAUAAUAAUAAUA